UACAGAGGUCUCAAGCGUUGUUCGGAUUCAUUGGGCGUAAAGGGUGCGUAGGUGGCGUCGUAAGUCAGGUGUGAAAUUUCGGAGCUUAACUCCGAAACUGCAUUUGAUACUGCGGUGCUUGAGGACUGGAGAGGAGACUGGAAUUUACGGUGUAGCAGUGAAAUGCGUAGAGAUCGUAAGGAAGACCAGUGGCGAAGGCGGGUCUCUGAACAGUUCCUGACACUGAGGCACGAAGGCCAGGGGAGCAAACGGG
rnacentral:rRNA from 1 species